rnacentral:rRNA from 1 species
UACGGGGGGGGCAAGCGUUGUUCGGAAUUACUGGGCGUAAAGGGCUCGUAGGCGGCCAACUAAGUCGGAUGUGAAAUCCCCAGGCUUAACCUGGGAACUGCAUCCGAUACUGGAUGGCUUGAAUCCGGGAGAGGGAUGCGGAAUUCCAGGUGUAGCGGUGAAAUGCGUAGAUAUCUGGAGGAACACCGGUGGCGAAGGCGGCAUCCUGGACCAAUACUGACGCUGAGGAGCGAAAGCCAGGGGAGCAAACGGG